rnacentral:lncRNA from 10 species
UUUUCCAUUACGGGGAAUCUGGCUGUCAUGAAGAACCUGGGGGAAAAGUCUUGAGAUCCCUAUAUGUAUUCUCCCCAGUGAAGAAGGUGGGACACAGGGCCCUGCUGGCAGCUUAAGACCCAACAGGCAGGGUUAAACCUGUCAGGGGCCUCUGGGGCAGAAGAACAUAACUAGACGGACAAGGAACAGAUGCUGGGGCAUGCUACAGAAGAAACAGGGUGGGCAUGGGGAGUCACCACCCAUCUCUGAUGGGAUAAAGGGAGACCUACAGGUCAUAGUGGCUGUGACGGCUAUUGAAGAAAGGCUAUCACAUAGACAGCUAGGUAAGGUGAAAAGGGAGGUUGUCUGAAUGGCCAUGCUUGAACUGGACCAAGUGCCAGAAACCCUCCUUCUAAGCACACACACCUAGGAGCCUGCAACUCUCAAGACCUCCAUCUUCUGAUGGGAGGGGUCCCCUUCCUCCUGGCACGAAACUAGUGCUUAAAAGUACAUAAACAAGGGGGCUUGCUGUGGAGAUGAGCUCACCUAGGUUCAUCUGAUAGGACUUGGGGCCCAGAGUGAGGUGGCCACGACCAGAAGCACCCAGGGGAGUGCUGCAGUUUCCACCAGAAAUGUCAGCUCUAAUGACAGCACCCAGCUGACAAGUCCUCCCCUUUUGUCUCCUCUUCUGGGAUAUUGCUAAAGCCACCCAUCUCACACCAGCCUCUGGAUGCAGGGAGCCCUUAUUGCUCUUCUGCUUUCCUGGGCAGGGUCCUGGUGGGACUAUCCCUUAGUCUUUCUUUCUAGAAUGCUUCAGAAUCACACUCUGGUCUUUCCAGGAGCUCCUGAAACUGAACUCUACAAGUUACAGUGAGCAGGGGACAGAGGGGUGAGGCCAAAUUCAUGGCAAGGUCUGUCUAGUUAGGCUCCAGCUCAGAGGCUCAAGCAGCUGAGAGCUUCACGGACACUUAAACAGCUUCUGGGUAGAGGGUAGGGUCAGAGGUGGCCUGACCUGCUUGGCGGGCUAACCCACACAGGCACUUGGAUUUCAUUCCAUGUCUCACUAGCUCCUGGGGUAAUCACGGGAAUCAAGGGACAUCAGGGAUGGAAGUGACCUCUGAGAUCAUCUGGUCCCAUCUCAUCAUAUUAGGAAUAAGCUGAGGUCGAGGAGAGGAGGGACUCACCCAAGUUUGGACUAGGUAGAGGUAGAGCAAGCAUAGAUCUCAGGGCUCAUGAUUUAAAUAAAACCCACUUCUCUUUACAUCAACAUCGAGUCUCAAAUUUGGUCUCUAAGAUAUACCUCAGGGAACCUGGGUGGGAGUGAAUGUAGCCUACUGUAAAGUUUUGUGACUUUUUUUUUUUUUUUUUUUUUUAGAUAGGAUCUCCCUCUGUUGCCCAGGCUGGAGUGCAGUGGGACAAUCUCAGCUCAUUGCAGUCACCGCCUCCUGAUCCUCCCACCUCCGCUUCCCAGUAGCUGGGACCACAGGUGCGCACCACCAUGCCCAGCUAAUUUGUUUUUGUAUUUUUGUGUAGAGAUGAGGUUUCGCCAUGUUGCCCAGACUGGUCUCAAACUCCUGGACUCAAGCGAUCCACCUGCCUCAGCCUCCCAAAGUGCUGGGAUUACAGGCGUGAGCCUCUGCUCCCGGCCUGUGCUUCAUUUUGAAAAGACAUGAGGACUUCCUUUUUUCCUCCAUCAUUCAGUCACACUGGUUUCAUUAUAAAUAAAAAACCUCCCCCAUCUUCGGGUAAAACUGCUGGAAGGAAGGAACGUGCAGGAAGCCCUGGCACAUCCAGCCUGAGGCUCUGUAGUCAUUCCAGGAAGGGAACACCCUGGUUUGGAAAGCUCAGAGAUGUCUGUACCCUUUUCCCCACAUGCAGGACCAUGGUUUCGGCAGAAAGAACUUGGACUGACUGGUAUUUGCAGAGCCAGGACCCUUUUCCUUUCCAGCUGAGCUACUGUGUGGGCCUCAUAAUCCAGGAAUCCCAGCUGUUCUGUUGCACAUGCCCUUGUCAUAGCCCACUGAGGUUAAUUUUCCAAAUGACUGAGUCACAGAGAAGAAAUAAAUACAAUUACC